AAAGACGCAUGCAGGCGGCCGUCGUUAAGUACAGAUGUGAAAGACCCGGGGCCGUUAACCUACCGGAAUUGCAUUUGAAACUGGCAGGCUAGAGUCUUGUAGAGGGGGGUAGGAAUUUCAGGUGUAGCGGUGAAAUGCGUAGAGAUCUGAAGGAAUACCAGUGGCGAAGGCGGCCCCCUGGACAAAGACUGACGCUCAGAUGCGAAAGCGUGGGGAGCAAACAGGAUUAGAUACCCCUGGUAG
rnacentral:rRNA from 1 species